ensembl:lncRNA
GAUAUUUUGACCUUAUUUCCUAACAGAUGCAAUAGAAAUAGAAUUUGUGCUGCAAAUGUGUUAAACUCCUUGAAGUAAUCAGAACAUAGGUCCCUAGUGAUUUAGAGCAGAGCCAUAUCCUCUGUCUCAGUCAGUUAGAAUUGUAUAACAAACAUAUUAAUACCAUAGACAGGGUGGCUUAAACAACAAACAGUUAUUUCACACAACCCUGAAGGCUGAGAAGUCCAAGGUCAACGUGCCAACUAAUUUGGUUUCUAGUGAGGGCCUUUCUUCCUGAUUGGCAGAGAGAUAUUGUUUUACUAUAUUUGCAUAUGGCACAAAAAGAAAGGAGCAGCAAACUGUCUUAUGUUUCUUAUUAUAAAGGCGCUAAUCCCAUUAUGAAGGCAGAGCCCUCAUUACCUUCUUCCCUGACAAAGGCCCCAUCCCCAGGGGCAUAUCAAUAGUGAUUAUCUUCAUAAUUGAUUCCUUAGAUUACAGCAAAUUCAGAUGAGAUUGUGACUUAAAGAGAAGAAUAAACGUAACUCCAAAAUUAAUGAGGUGACUUAUUGGGUUUCUUCCUUGGAGGAGAGGUUUUAUAAGUUAAAAGCAUAUUCUUCUUUUGGGGAGGGCUUACAUAAGGUAUAGAGAUAUUUCAUUUUGUUCUCAUUUUAUUUCCUUUUUUUUUUUUUGAAAUGUAGGUGAAUGGAUGUAUGUGUAGAUGUUGAAUUACCAAAAGGAGAGUUCCAAAGAAUGAGGGAAAUAAAUUUAGAAAAAGUUAGCCUUCAUUUCAUACCCUUAAUUGUUGAACUUUUGUGUUAAGAAGAGACAGAAAUGCCAACAGCUACAUUUCCAGACUGUCCUUCAGCUGACUUUCCAAAUGUAAAUUAGCUUCUGCCACUUAUAUAUACCAGAGUGAGAUUCCUAGCAGGAAUAUGAAGUGGAAUAUCCCUUUUUGGAUUAUUUUAUUUCUAUUCUUAAAGAAAAGACAUAAAAUCCUGAAUAGCAAAAGCCAGCCAUGGUGGUAGUUCUGUUAAGCACUCAUUGUUUAGCCACCAGCUUUGUUUGAGUUGAGGUGAUUUAUGUGGUAUUCUGAUCCCUGGAUCAGAGUGAGAGUGUACAUGCUUGGACUAGGUUGUAUUAGUGGAAUGCUCCUGACUCCAACUCCUCUAGCCCUCCCAGUGAUUUUAUAAGCAUUUAUUUUCCACUAUUAAACAUACUGCUGCUUAAAAUAUUAUUGAUUGUUUUACUUUCCUGCACAGAACUCUAAAUGACACAAUUCUUCCUCCACAGAAAAAUCAAAUUUUCAUAACCCCCUGCCCCCUGAAAAAUAAAUAGAUAUGGGCAAAAAGUGCAAUUCAAAUCAGAAAUAAAGUAUUUCUAUUAUUGUAGUACCUAAGUGACUCACAUUUAAAUUUGUCAGUGCCUUCUCUGAGUAGGUGAAAGGCAAAGUCUCUUAAGAAUGCCUUCUACACAUUCUGGAAAAAAAUACCUGGGGUAACUAGGAGGCAGUCGCUGGUCAAGUAAAUGGUGCGACAAGACAGUUUAUGCCUUAUGAAGAAAUGUGGUUCUUUACACUGCUUGGAAUAAUAGUCAUUUCCGGGGGGACAAGUGGAUAAUUCACAUAUAGAACAAGAGGUCUCCUGGAAGGAAAGGAGAGUAUACUCUGACCCUUCCGUUUGAAGUUUAACUGCAUUAGGCUGUACCAGGAUUAAAAUAGACCAGCUCAAGAGAAAAGAUGCUAAUUUGUUUUGAAACAGAAUUCAAAUUAAGAGUUGAGGAAAGUCAACUGGUGACCUCGACCCAAGACAUGCACCUUCAUGGUCCAUGAUAGGGGCAGGGCUGUCUCUGGCUGGAGAAGAAUGCUCCAGCAUAUCCUAUGAGUCUAGAAAGUUGAUUUUGAUCCAUUUUAAAUUUUAAUAUUAAAACAAAUGUUCUGCUCUUUGCUCU